CUUCACUGCAGCCUGGAAUUGUGUUCGGGCUUCGCUUGCGCAGGAUAGGUGGGAGGCACAGAAGUUCCCCUUGUGGGGGGAAUCGAGCCAACGGUGAGAUACCACUCUAGCGAGGCUAGAAUUCUAACCCUUGCCCGUCAGCCGGGAAGGAGACAGUUUCAGGGGGGCAGUUUGACUGGGGCGGUCACCUCCUAAAAGGUAACGGAGGUGUGCAAAGGUUCCCUCAGGCUGGACGGAAAUCAGCCGGAGAGUGCAAAGGCAGAAGGGAGCUUGACUGCAAGACCUACAAGUCGAGCAGGGUGGAAACACGGUCUUAGUGAUCCGACGGUGCCGCAUGGAAGGGCCGUCGCUCAACGGAUAAAAGUUA
rnacentral:rRNA from 1 species